CCCGGGUAGUAUACAGUUAUUGUCUUGAAACCCAAAGAAUUUGGCGGUAUCUCAGUCUAGUUAGAGGAGCUUGUUCGGUAAUCGAUAAUCCGCGAAAAAUCUUACGUACUAUUGUAAUCAGUUUAUAUACCGUCGUUAUUAGAUAAUACUAAGAGGUAAAUAAUUAUCUAAGAAUAUUUGAAUAUAAUAUAUCAGAUCAAGGUGUAGCUUAUGAGUACGAGAUGAAUGAGCUACAAUUUAGUCUAUAAAAACGAAUGUUAAUUUUAAAUAAUUAAUUGAAGGUGGAUUUAAUAGUAAAUU
rnacentral:rRNA from 1 species